ACGGAUAUCUCGGCUCUCGCAUCGAUGAAGAACGUAGCGAAAUGCGAUACCUGGUGUGAAUUGCAGAAUCCCGCGAACCAUCGAGUCUUUGAACGCAAGUUGCGCCCGAGGCCAUAUGGCUGAGGGCACGCCUGCCUGGGCGUCACGCAAAACACGCUCCCCCC
rnacentral:rRNA from 1 species